rnacentral:rRNA from 1 species
UGGGGAAUAUUGGACAAUGGGGGCAACCCUGAUCCAGCAAUGCCGCGUGUGUGAAGAAGGUCUUCGGAUUGUAAAGCACUUUCGACGGGGACGAUGAUGACGGUACCCGUAGAAGAAGCCCCGGCUAACUUCGUGCCAGCAGCCGCGGUAAUACGAAGGGGGCUAGCGUUGCUCGGAAUGACUGGGCGUAAAGGGCGUGUAGGCGGUUUACACAGUCAGAUGUGAAAUCCCCGGGCUUAACCUGGGAGCUGCAUUUGAUACGUGUAGACUAGAGUGUGAGAGAGGGUUGUGGAAUUCCCAGUGUAGAGGUGAAAUUCGUAGAUAUUGGGAAGAACACCGGUGGCGAAGGCGGCAACCUGGCUCAUGACUGACGCUGAGGCGCGAAAGCGUGGGGAGCAAACAGGUUAGAUACCC